AAUUUAUUGUCACCGCAAGCACAAACCCUACGCGUCCUCUCACUCAAUUAACCGAGCCCCAUGGAUAUUGAAGAGGACAUCAAGGCGCUGCAGCUUGAUUCAUCUGAAGAUACUGUGUUGGUCAACGUGGAAGAUGCUAGACCUGGUGAAGCUAUAAAACAUGAUAAAGUUGAUGGAGAGGAUAGUUUUAUGGAAGAAGAGAGGAAGACUGAUGAUGUUGGGAAACCUGAUAUGCCGGAAGAUGAGUUAAGAGAUGAAGCACAUCCAGACUUAAAGCCAGAGCAUGUCGAUCCAAAGGGUGUCUCUGGAAAAGAAAGUUCUCCCCCAGAAGAUAUGCAGGUGGAGGUUGAAGUCAAUAAAAAGAGGCAUCUGAAUGUGGUAUUUAUUGGUCACGUGGAUGCUGGAAAGUCUACUAUUGGAGGACAAAUACUAUUACUUAGUGGUCAAGUUGAUGACCGUACGAUACAAAAGUAUGAGAAAGAAGCGAAGGAUAAAAACAGAGAGAGCUGGUAUAUGGCCUAUAUUAUGGAUACAAAUGAAGAAGAGAGGGUGAAGGGAAUAACAGUUGAAGUAGGAAGAGCACAUUUUGAAACAGAG
rnacentral:misc_RNA from 1 species